AGGACUUAACACGCAUGUGAACAGUGUAAGUGUCCUCCGUGUUCACAGUGGUUAAGUUCUG
ensembl:miRNA gmo-mir-27c gmo-mir-27c